rnacentral:rRNA from 1 species
GUGGGGAAUAUUGGGCAAUGGGGGAAACCCUGACCCAGCGACGCCGCGUGAGGGAAGACGGCCUUCGGGUUGUAAACCUCUUUUGUACGGGAAGAAGGAAGUGACGGUACUGUACGAAUAAGUCCCGGCUAACUACGUGCCAGCAGCCGCGGUAAUACGUAGGGGACGAGCGUUGUCCGGAAUUACUGGGCGUAAAGGGCGCGCAGGCUGUGCUGCAAGUCAGCUGUGAAAUGUCUGGGCUUAACCCGGGCAUGCGGUUGAGACUGCAGUGCUGGAGUGCUGUAGAGGCAAGUGGAAUUCCCAGUGUAGCGGUGAAAUGCGUAGAUAUUGGGAAGAACACCGGUGGCGAAGGCGACUUGCUGGGCAGCAACUGACGCUGAGGCGCGAAAGCCAGGGGAGCAAACGGGAUUAGAUACCCCGGUAGUCC